rnacentral:misc_RNA from 1 species
GACAAGAAAGUACACCUAUGCAAGUUCAGCGAAGGGGAUCUUGUCUUGAAGAAAGUAUCCCAAGCUCAGAAAGACCAUAGGGGAAAAUGGGCUCCAAAUUACAAAGGAUCAUUCGUCAUGAAGAAAGUAUUUUCGGGAGGAGCAUUGGUGCUUGCCAACAUGGACGAUGAAGAGUUGCCUUCACCCGUGAAUUUCGAUAUCGUCAAACGAUAUUAUGCUUAGUACUUGUGGCAGCUAGAGGAGUCAAUACAUGAUUGUUCUCCAAAGGUUCAUUGGGAUCUCCAAAGUUUUCCAAUCCUUUGUAAACCAUGAUCACAACAUUAAUAAACAUUGGAUUGAUGAGUU